rnacentral:rRNA from 1 species
AUGAAGAUUGGUCCAACCAAACUUGGUGGCUCCCCUGUUCGUCGUAGUCCACGGGUUUUGACAAAUAAGAAGCCUUCUUCUCCUCCUCUUCGAGAGCGCUGUUUGUUGAAAGAAAAUAAUAAGCGUAAAGUUCAUCCUGCGAAGGUGAACAAAGGUGUGAAGAAGCGUGCUCGUGUCGAAGCUGAAGAUGUUGUAUCUGAAGAAGAUGAUAUCGAAGUUGAUUCUGAAGAUGAAUUUGCAGUGCCUGUUAGCGUUAUGAGUCCGGUCAAGCCGGUGGGACGCAAUGCCGGAAAAGAUGCCUUGGAUGAAGAUCUUGAUACAAUGACUCUUGACAUGGGUGAGGCUAAUAAGAAGCUUCGCAUCACUAGUGAUGGUAUACAUCAAUUAUUUGGGUUCCCUCGUGGUGGUCGUUCUCCGCCAAGGCAUUCAGAGGAUGGAUACAACGACACUCUGAUGAAGUUAAGAUCGAAGCUUGACAUUAGCAGGAACAAAGAUAUCAAGACAAAGGAUUUGAGGAAUAAGCUCAAGGUGCUCGUCAAGGAUCCUAGCAAAGAUGACCUUGCUCUGAAAGUGUUCUUCAUUAUUGUGUUUAUGAAGGUUGUGUUGCCUGGUGUCGCCCCGCGUGUUUCUAGAAAGGCAGCAAUGUUUGAUGGUCUCGUCUUUGAGGACAUGGCUAAUAUGGAUUAUUGUCAUCUGAUGGUUGAUGAGCUUAGAAGGGCUGUUAUCAGGUACCAAGAUGGUGUUACCAUGGGGAAGGCAAUCACAGGCUGUGCUAUAGGGCCUGCACUAAUGUACCUUGACUGCCUUAUCCGUGGCAAGACUGCGGAGCCUGACAUGCGAGUCCCCCGCAUAUGUUUCAUGGAUCCUGUUAAGCUUUCUGAUCUGGUUGAUGCAGAUUUGAUAAAAAAAGGCAAUGCAGAUCCAAAGACUUGGGUUUUUAGGAAGCUUCCGUGGAAAACUCAAGAGGAGGUUGUCUUUUUCCGAGUGUAUAAACGGCCAGUCCUGGAGAUGUUGUCGUCACAGGUUCCCAAGUCUUCAUCUCUGCACGAUGAGUUGAGAGGUGGCUGUGGUGUUGAGGGUGCUGGAUAUGAUCCCCCUGGCCCUAGUAAUGCUAGUACUUCACAGAGGCAGGGUUUUGGUAUUGAUGUUGCUAUUUCUGCAUUGCAGCGCGUUGAGCAUAUUUUUAGAAAUGUGUGUUCUGAGCUGCAAAAGGUCCCAACGACAGUUGAGCGUCUGAGCUGUAUCAAUGGUAUCCUUCCUGAAGGUCAUCAAUUUAACGCUGAGGAAGUAGUGGACUAUAUUGAGAUGGAGAGAAUUUUAAUUGGUGAUAUGCGUGACGGUGCUGCUGAUCUAGUUCAGAGCUCGGUUCGGCUAUUGAACAAAAUGAGGUGUUCCAAAACUAUGCAAGACUCUCGCUGCAAGCCAUAUGAAGAAAGUGCAAAAGUUGUUAUCAGGCAGAUUGAGCAGGAUGAGGCUGCUGCCACCAACAGCAGGGCUGGUGAUGGUACUGAGGCUAAUGUUCCUGAUCAUGAAACGAAUGAUGUUGGCUUGGAGCGCGCUGUUGAUGAUAUUGAGCAGGAUGAGGCUGCUGCCAUGACAGCAGGGCUGUUGAUGGUACUGAGGUUAAUGUUUCUGAUCACCAUACGAAUGAUGUUGGCUUGGAGCAGCCUGUUGUUGAUGAGACCAUUCAUAAUGUUAACGCUGUUGUUGACCGUGGAGUUAAUGAUCCACCUACUGAUAAGUGCAAGGUCCUGUUGUUGGCGAUGA